rnacentral:rRNA from 1 species
CAGCAGCCGCGGGAAUACGUAGGUGGCAAGCGUUAUCCGGAAUUAUUGGGCGUAAAGGGCUCGCAGGCGGUUUCUUAAGUCUGAUGUGAAAGCCCCCGGCUCAACCGGGGAGGGUCAUUGGAAACUGGGAAACUUGAGUGCAGAAGAGGAGAGUGGAAUUCCACGUGUAGCGGUGAAAUGCGUAGAGAUGUGGAGGAACACCAGUGGCGAAGGCGACUCUCUGGUCUGUAACUGACGCUGAGGAGCGAAAGCGUGGGGAGCGAACAGGAUUAGAUACCCGAGUAGUCCCUGUCUCUUAUAC